rnacentral:rRNA from 1 species
UCCAGACUCCUACGGGAGGCAGCAGUGAGGAAUAUUGGUCAAUGGGCGGAAGCCUGAACCAGCCAAGUCGCGUGAGGGAAUAAGGCCCUACGGGUCGUAAACCUCUUUUGCCGGGGAGCAAGGGCCGGGACGCGUCCCGGCCCGGAGAGUGCCCGGAGAAAAAGCAUCGGCUAACUCCGUGCCAGCAGCCGCGGUCAUACGUAGGAUCCGAGCAUUAUCCGGAGUGACUGGGUGUAAAGAGUUGCGUAGGUGGCAUAAUAAGUAGCUAGUGAAAUCUGGUGGCUCAACCAUUCAGACUAUUAGCUAAACUGUUAAGCUCGAGACCGUUAGGGGUAACUGGAAUUUCUAGUGUAGGAGUGAAAUCCGUAGAUAUUAGAAGGAACACCAAUAGCGUAGGCAGGUUGCUGGGACGGUUCUGACACUAAGGCACGAAAGCGUAGGGAGCAAACGGGAUUAGAUACCCGUGUA